AUACCGAAGACAUGGGUCUAUGCAUUAGCAUGGGCGGUAGAGGAGCGUUCCUAUCGGCAGUGAAGCAGCAUUGUAAAGUGUUGUGGAGCGGUAGGAAGUGAGAAUGCUGGAAUGAGUAACCAUAAGAGAGGUGAGAAUCCUCUCGGCCGUAAGAGCAAGGUUUCCUGAGCCAUGGUAAUCAUCUCAGGGUUAGUCGGGCCUAAGCCGAGGCGUAGAGCGUAGGCGAUGGACAUCAGGUUAAUAUUCCUGAACCGGUAUAUACUUGUAUGCUAUUCACGGUGAGAUAUCCGGAGCGGAUUCAUGGUUUAUCCGUCCAACCUCGUGGGAACGCGAAGGGAGUGAAAGUUACCCUUUUGGGUGACGAUUCUGGAAAAGGCGCUGGCAAGAAAAGUAGACAUACGCGUAGUAUAUGCCGCCCGUACCGCAAACCAACACAGGUGCUCGAGUCGAGUAGACUCAGGCUUACGAGAGAACCUUCGCUAAGGAACUCGGCAAUACAGCGACCGUAACUUCGGAAUAAGGUCUGCCCCCACUUCGGUGGAUAUGUUGUCGGUUUCAAAGCUAGCAGGUGUGGUUGAAGAGUAUCUUUAAUACAUCAAUUCUUCUUGAGAUAGAACCAAUAGCUUUUGGAACUGAAGCUCAACGCAUCUAGCGAUGUGGGGGCCGCAGCAAAAGAGCCCACGGAACUGUUUAUCAAAAACACAGCUCUCUGCUAACACGAAAGUGGAUGUAUAGGGGGUGACUCCUGCCCGGUGCUGGAAGGUUAAGGGGAGUGCUUUACGGUGCGAACUGAAGCCCCAGUGAACGGCGGCGGUAACUAUAACCGUCCUAAGGUAGCGAAAUUCCUUGUCAGGUAAGUUCUGACCCGCACGAAUGGAGUAAUCAUGUGGGCACUGUCUCAGCGAAGGACUCGGUGAAAGUGCAUUGGCGGUAAAGAUGCCGUCUGUCCGUACCAGGACGAAAAGACCCCAUGGAGCUUUACUACAGCUUUACAUUGAAUACGGUUUCAACAUGUGUAGCAUAGGUGGGAGAUAUUGAAGCAGAUACGCCAGUAUUUGUGGAGUCACCAAGUGAAAUACCACCCUUGUUGUGAUUGUGUUCUCACGCUGACCGUUAUCCGGUUAGCGGACCGUGUAUGGUGGGUAGUUUAACUGGGGCGGUUGCCUCCUAAAGAGUAGCGGAGGCGUUCAAAGGUUGGCUAACUUCGGAUGGAAAUCGAAGUGAUAGUGUAUGCGCAUAAGCCAGCUUGACUGUGAGGAGUACAUUCCAAUCAGAGACGAAAGUCGGAGCAAGUGACCCGCUGUACGAACAUUUGUUCAUUGAAUGUGGGAUCGACAGCGCACACGGAUAAAAGUUACCCUGGGGAUAACAGGCUUAUAGCGCCCAAUAGUUCACAUAGACGGCGCUGUUUGGCACCUCGAUGUCGGCUCAUCACAUCCUGGAGGGGGAGCACCUUCCAAGGGUUCGGCUGUUCGCCGAUUAAAGUGGUACGCGAGCUGGGUUCAGAACGUCGUGAGACAGUUCGGUUUAUAUCCGGUAUGGACGUCAGGAAAUUUGCGAGGAUUUGCCCCUAGUACGAGAGGACCGGGGUGAACGCACCGCUGGUGUACGGAUUGUGGCCACCUGCUGCAUUGUCCGGUAGCUAUGUGCGGACCAGAUAAGCGCUGAAAGCAUAUUAAGCGCGAAACUGACCUCAAGAUGAGAUUUCCCUAUGAGGGCCGUGAAAGACGAUCACGUUGAUAGGUGCAAGGUGGAAGUGCAGUAAUGCAUGGAGCCGAAGCAUACUAAUCGCCCCAUUGCCUUUUUAUG
rnacentral:rRNA from 1 species